GCCUGGUUGGCACAGUCGUUAAGCGUCUGCCUUCAGCUCAGGCCGUGAUCCCAGUGUUCUGGGAUCGAGCCCCACAUCAGGCU
rnacentral:tRNA from 1 species